GCUGGCGGCGCGCCUAACACAUGCAAGUCGAACGGCACCCCUCUCCGGAGGGAAGCGAGUGGCGAACGGCUGAGUAACACGUGGAGAACCUGCCCCCUCCCCCGGGAUAGCCGCCCGAAAGGACGGGUAAUACCGGAUACCCCGGGGUGCCGCAUGGCACCCCGGCUAAAGCCCCGACGGGAGGGGAUGGCUCCGCGGCCCAUCAGGUAGACGGCGGGGUGACGGCCCACCGUGCCGACAACGGGUAGCCGGGUUGAGAGACCGACCGGCCAGAUUGGGACUGAGACACGGCCCAGACUCCUACGGGAGGCAGCAGUGGGGAAUCUUGCGCAAUGGGGGGAACCCUGACGCAGCGACGCCGCGUGCGGGACGGAGGCCUUCGGGUCGUAAACCGCUUUCAGCAGGGAAGAGUCAAGACUGUACCUGCAGAAGAAGCCCCGGCUAACUACGUGCCAGCAGCCGCGGUAAUACGUAGGGGGCGAGCGUUAUCCGGAUUCAUUGGGCGUAAAGCGCGCGUAGGCGGCCCGGCAGGCCGGGGGUCGAAGCGGGGGGCUCAACCCCCCGAAGCCCCCGGAACCUCCGCGGCUUGGGUCCGGUAGGGGAGGGUGGAACACCCGGUGUAGCGGUGGAAUGCGCAGAUAUCGGGUGGAACACCGGUGGCGAAGGCGGCCCUCUGGGCCGAGACCGACGCUGAGGCGCGAAAGCUGGGGGAGCGAACAGGAUUAGAUACCCUGGUAGUCCCAGCCGUAAACGAUGGACGCUAGGUGUGGGGGGACGAUCCCCCCGUGCCGCAGCCAACGCAUUAAGCGUCCCGCCUGGGGAGUACGGCCGCAAGGCUAAAACUCAAAGGAAUUGACGGGGGCCCGCACAAGCAGCGGAGCAUGUGGCUUAAUUCGAAGCAACGCGAAGAACCUUACCAGGGCUUGACAUAUGGGUGAAGCGGGGGAGACCCCGUGGCCGAGAGGAGCCCAUACAGGUGGUGCAUGGCUGUCGUCAGCUCGUGUCGU
rnacentral:rRNA from 1 species